rnacentral:rRNA from 1 species
GUAGGCGCUGCCUAACCAUGCAAGUCGAACGGUAGCACAGAGAACUUGGUCUCUUGUGACAAGUGCCGGAAAGGUGAGUAAUGUCUGGGAAACUGCCUGAUGUAGGGGGAUAUCUACUGUAAACAGUAUCUAAUACCCCAUAACGUCUCACGACCAAAAAGGGGGACCUUCUGGCCUCUUGCCAUCUCAUAUGCCCCCAUGGGAUUAUCUAUUAUGUGGGGUAAUGUCUCACCUAUGCGACAAUCCCUAUCUGGUCUGAGAGAAUGACCCCCCACACUGUAACUGAGACACGGUCCACACUCCUACAGGAGGCACCACUGUGGAAUAUUGUACAAUGGGCGCAAGCCUGAUAUACCCCUGCCCCGUGUGUAAAAAAAGCCUUCUGGUUGUAAAGUACUUUCUCCGCGGAGAAAAGCGCUGAGGUUAAUAACCUCUCCGAUUGUGAUUUCCCCCACAAAAAACACCCGCUAACUCCCUGCCCCCACCCCCGCUAAUACAGAGGGUGCACGCGUUAAUCUCAAUUUCUGGGCGUAAAGCGCACACACGCGGUCUGUCAAGUCUGAUAUGAAAUCCCCCGGCUCUCCCUGUGAACUCCGUUCUAAACUGUGACGCUUGAGUCUUGUGUAGAGGGGUAUAAUUCUCCGUGUAUCGCUGAAAUGCGUAUAGAUCUCGAGGAAAACCCCUGGCGAAAGCGCCCCCCCGUACAAAAACUGACACUCACGUGCGAAAACGUGUGGAGCACACACGAUUAUAUACCCCCGUGAUUCCACAA